GACGAACGCUGGCGGCGUGCUUAACACAUGCAAGUCGAACGGAAAGGCCCUGCUUUUGUGGGGUGCUCGAGUGGCGAAUGGGUGAGUAACACGUGAGUAACCUGCCCUUGACUUUGGGAUAACUUCAGGAAACUGGGGCUAAUACCGGAUAGGAGCUCCUGCUGCAUGGUGGGGGUUGGAAAGUUUCGGCGGUUGGGGAUGGACUCGCGGCUUAUCAGCUUGUUGGUGGGGUAGUGGCUUACCAAGGCUUUGACGGGUAGCCGGCCUGAGAGGGUGACCGGCCACAUUGGGACUGAGGUACGGCCCAGACUCCUACGGGAGGCAGCAGUGGGGAAUAUUGCACAAUGGGCGGAAGCCUGAUGCAGCAACGCCGCGUGCGGGAUGACGGCCUUCGGGUUGUAAACCGCUUUCGCCUGUGACGAAGCGUGAGUGACGGUAAUGGGUAAAGAAGCACCGGCUAACUACGUG
rnacentral:rRNA from 1 species